rnacentral:rRNA from 1 species
GAUGAACGCUAGCGACAGGCUUAACACAUGCAAGUCGAGGGGCAGCGGGAGUGAAGCUUGCUUCACUCGCCGGCGACCGGCGCACUGGUGAGUAACGCGUAUGCGACCUGCCCGCGGCCGGGGGAUAAUCCAUAGAAAUGUGGUCUAAUACCCCAUAUGCCGGUCUUCUGCAUGGAGGACCGGUGAAAGGAGAGAUCCGGGCGCGGAUGGGCAUGCGUCUGAUUAGCUGGUUGGCGGGGCAACGGCCCACCAAGGCUACGAUCAGUAGGGGUUCUGAGAGGAAGGUCCCCCACAUUGGAACUGAGACACGGUCCAAACUCCUACGGGAGGCAGCAGUGAGGAAUAUUGGUCAAUGGGCGAGAGCCUGAACCAGCCAAGUAGCGUGCAGGACGACGGCCCUAUGGGUUGUAAACUGCUUUAUAAGGGAAUAAAGUGGGUCUCGUGAGACUUUUUGCAUGUACCUUAUGAAUAAGGACCGGCUAAUUCCGUGCCAGC